GCAAACUUUUUAGAGGAAGUAAAAGUCGUAACAAGGUCUCCGUAGGUGAACCUGCGGAGGGAUCAUUAAAAGAGAUGGCGGGCCCCCGCGCCCCCGUCCCCAACCCUUUGUUGACCAAAACAUUUUUGCCUCGGGGGCAGAGUGGCCGCCAGGUCGCCGCCCCCAGAGGACCACUUAACCCUGUCUCUGUACGUCGGAGUCUUUGAUGAAUAAAUCAAAACUUUCAACAACGGAUCUCUUGGUUCUGGCAUCGAUGAAGAACGCAGC
rnacentral:misc_RNA from 1 species